CACGUAGGCGGAUAGGUCAGUCAGAUGUGAAAGCCCGGAGCUUAACUCCGGAACUGCAUUUGAUACUACUUGUCUUGAGUAUGGUAGAGGGGGGUGGAAUUCCCGGUGUAGAGGUGAAAUUCGUAGAUAUCGGGAGGAACACCAGAGGCGAAGGCGACCCCCUGGGCCAUAACUGACGCUGAGGUGCGAAAGCGUGGGGAGCAAACA
rnacentral:rRNA from 1 species